AACGAACGCUGGCGGCAGGCCUAACACAUGCAAGUCGAGCGCGCCCUUCGGGGUGAGCGGCGGACGGGUGAGUAACGCGUGGGAACGCGCCCUUUUCUACGGAAUAGCCUCGGGAAACUGAGAGUAAUACCGUAUACGCCCUUUGGGGGAAAGAUUUAUCGGAAAAGGAUCGGCCCGCGUUGGAUUAGGUAGUUGGUGGGGUAAUGGCCUACCAAGCCGACGAUCCAUAGCUGGUUUGAGAGGAUGAUCAGCCACACUGGGACUGAGACACGGCCCAGACUCCUACGGGAGGCAGCAGUGGGGAAUCUUAGACAAUGGGGGCAACCCUGAUCUAGCCAUGCCGCGUGAGUGAUGAAGGCCUUAGGGUUGUAAAGCUCUUUCAGCUGGGAAGAUAAUGACGGUACCAGCAGAAGAAGCCCCGGCUAACUCCGUG
rnacentral:rRNA from 1 species